GACGAACGCUGGCGGCGUGCUUAACACAUGCAAGUCGAACGGAAAGGCCCUGCUUUUGUGGGGUGCUCGAGUGGCGAACGGGUGAGUAACACGUGAGUAACCUGCCCUUGACUUUGGGAUAACUUCAGGAAACUGGGGCUAAUACCGGAUAGGAGCUCCUGCUGCAUGGCGGGGGUUGGAAAGUUUCGGCGGUUGGGGAUGGACUCGCGGCUUAUCAGCUUGUUGGUGGGGUAGUGGCUUACCAAGGCUUUGACGGGUAGCCGGCCUGAGAGGGUGACCGGCCACAUUGGGACUGAGAUACGGCCCAGACUCCUACGGGAGGCAGCAGUGGGGAAUAUUGCACAAUGGGCGGAAGCCUGAUGCAGCAACGCCGCGUGCGGGAUGAAGGCCUUCGGGUUGUAAACCGCUUUCGCCUGUGACGAAGCGUGAGUGACGGUAAUGGGUAAAGAAGCACCGGCUAACUACGUG
rnacentral:rRNA from 1 species